rnacentral:rRNA from 1 species
CGGGUGAGUAACACGUAUGGAACCUGCCCUAUGCAGGGGGAUAAGCGGAAGAAAUUCCGUCUAAUACCGCAUAACAUCAUUUGGAGACAUCUCCAGGUGGUCAAAGGAGGCGACUCCGGCAUAGGAUGGCCAUGCGUCGCAUUAGCUAGUCGGCGGGGUAACGGCCCACCGAGGCGACGAUGCGUAGGGGUUCUGAGAGGAAGGUCCCCCACACUGGUACUGAGACACGGACCAGACUCCUACGGGAGGCAGCAG